GACGAGCCACACAAACGUUAUUCGGAAUUACUGGGCUUAAAGGGUGCGUAGGCGGCGCGGAAAGUUGGGUGUGAAAGCCCUCGGCUCAACCGAGGAAUUGCGCCCAAAACUACCGUGCUUGAGGAAGAUAGAGGUGAGCGGAACUCAGGGUGGAGCGGUGAAAUGCGUUGAUAUCCUGAGGAACACCGGUGGCGAAAGCGGCUCACUGGAUCUUUCUGACGCUGAGGCACGAAAGCUAGGGUAGCGAACGGG
rnacentral:rRNA from 1 species